UACGGAGGGGGCUAGCGUUGUUCGGAAUUACUGGGCGUAAAGCGCGCGUAGGCGGACCUGCAAGUCGGGGGUGAAAGCCCGAGGCUCAACCUCGGAACUGCCUUCGAUACUGCGGGUCUCGAGUCCGGGAGAGGUGAGUGGAAUUCCUAGUGUAGAGGUGAAAUUCGUAGACAUUAGGAAGAACACCAGUGGCGAAGGCAGCUCGCUGGCCCGGUACUGACGCUGAGGAGCGAAAGCAUGGGGAGCGAACAGG
rnacentral:rRNA from 1 species